rnacentral:rRNA from 1 species
AUUGAACGCUGGCGGCAUGCCUUACACAUGCAAGUCGAACGGCAGCACGGGAGCAAUCCUGGUGGCGAGUGGCGAACGGGUGAGUAAUAUAUCGGAACGUGCCCAGUCGUGGGGGAUAACGUAGCGAAAGCUACGCUAAUACCGCAUACGAUCUAUGGAUGAAAGCGGGGGAUCGCAAGACCUCGCGCGAUUGGAGCGGCCGAUAUCAGAUUAGGUAGUUGGUGGGGUAAAAGCCUACCAAGCCUUCGAUCUGUAGCUGGUCUGAGAGGACGACCAGCCACACUGGAACUGAGACACGGUCCAGACUCCUACGGGAGGCAGCAGUGGGGAAUUUUGGACAAUGGGCGCAAGCCUGAUCCAGCAAUGCCGCGUGCAGGAUGAAGGCCUUCGGUUGUAACGUAGCUUUUGUACGGUAACGAAACGGUUACGUCUCUAAUACAGGGGCGUAAGUGACGGUACCGUAA